rnacentral:rRNA from 1 species
UACGAAGGGGGCUAGCGUUGCUCGGAAUCACUGGGCGUAAAGCGCACGUAGGCGGAUUGCUAAGUCAGGGGUGAAAUCCUGGAGCUCAACUCCAGAGCUGCCCUUGAUACUGGCGGUCUCGAGUCCGGGAGAGGUGAGUGGAACUGCGAGUGUAGAGGUGAAAUUCGUAGAUAUUCGCAAGAACACCAGUGGCGAAGGCGGCUCACUGGCCCGGUACUGACGCUGAGGUGCGAAAGCGUGGGGAGCAAACAGG